UCUGAAUUAAGAUCGACCGUCGGAAGUUCAGUUGUUAUGGUACGCAGAACACGACGCGGACGGUUGUAAACCCAAAAAUAAGGAUAUUUAUCUCAAUGGCUACACCGUUCUUGCUGGGUCAUGUGAAAUAAAUUCAAACCAAGAAGAUUCACCGACGACAGUAACAAAUUCAAUCGGAACACUUCAUGACAUUCGACGUGAUAAGGCGGAUGUGUCCAGAAGAUUUUGUUGCGAGAAUGGAACGAGUAACGGUGAUAAUGACAAUUGCAACUUAUUCUUGGAGAUCUUCUAUCGGCAUGGAUACCAUUAAUGGAGUCCCAUUAUUUUGGAUGAUUGUAGUUAUUUUAGUACCUUGUACCCUCAUUUUGUUCAAUUGAGUUAUGUCGCAAGUUUGUGCAUUAAGUGAAUUUAUAAAUUAUAAUAUUCUUAAAAUGG